GGAAUAUUGGUCAAUGGGCGUAAGCCUGAACCAGCCAAGUAGCGUGCAGGACGACGGCCCUAUGGGUUGUAAACUGCUUUUAUGCGGGGAUAAAGUUCACCACGUGUGGUGUUUUGCAGGUACCGCAUGAAUAAGGACCGGCUAAUUCCGUGCCAGCAGCCGCGGUAAUACGGAAGGUCCGGGCGUUAUCCGGAUUUAUUGGGUUUAAAGGGAGCGCAGGCGGGUUGUUAAGCGUGACGUGAAAUGUAGCCGCUCAACGGCUGCACUGCGUCGCGAACUGGCAGUCUUGAGUGAGUACGACGCGGACGGAAUUCGUGGUGUAGCGGUGAAAUGCUUAGAUAUCACGAAGAACCCCGAUUGCGAAGGCAGUCCGCGAGUCCUUUACUGACGCUAAAGCUCGAAGGUGCGGGUAUCGAACA
rnacentral:rRNA from 1 species